AGUGGAGAUUUUUUCAGCAAAGGAUGGAGGGAAACAGGACAAGAAUUUGUAAAACGAUGACUGGUCCUGAGAAGCAGCUCUAAAGCAGCCCUAAAGACUUCCUUCAAGACCUCCUUCGCCGAAUUGUAGAGCUGAAGAAAAGUCUUUAAAAGCCAGCCAGAUCUCAUUUUAUUGGCAGGCCCUCGGAAGGGUUUCGAAUCGCGAGGAGUUCUGACUCACAAUGAUUUUCUAAAACGAUGGGAUCCAGACUAAUCUCAAUUCUACUGCUUUUGAAACAAAGCUUGGAUUUUUUUUAAAAAAAGAAAUGAAUCAGAAAUAUUUUGAUUUUAGCAAUUAGCUAAAAUAAUUGCUAGAUAUUGGAAAUUAAAUGUUGACUUAAAAUUAGAAGAAUGGUAUAAUGAAACAUGGAAAUUUGCAUUAAAUGAUAAAUUGACUUGUGAUAUUAAAAUUAGAAGUGGUAUAUACAAAGAGAA